AGCCGAUCAAGCUAUUGAAAUCUAAAAGCAGAGCCCAUGCAGGAGAUGUGAAGAGGUACUUAUAUUUCCCCCUAGGGACGUCUGCAGUCUGAAACUUAGGAUAUGUAAUCAUUAUGGAGCAAUGCAGAAGACUGAAGAGGAGGGAAAGCCACUUACUUAUAUUUCCCCCUAGGGACGUCUGCAGUCUGAAACUUAGGGUAUGUAAUCAUUAUUUAACCAUGCAUUAGACUAAAGAGGAGGGAAAGCCACUUACUUAUAUUUCCCCCUAGGGACGUCUGCAGUCUGAAACUUAGGGUAUGUAAUCAUUAUGGAGCAAUGCAGAAGACUGAAGAGGAGGGAAAGCCACUUACUUAUAUUUCCCCCUAGGGACGUCUGCAGUCUGAAACUUAGGGUAUGUAAUCAUUAUGGAGCAAUGCAGAAGACUGAAGAGGAGGGAAAGCCACUUACUUAUAUUUCCCCCUAGGGACGUCUGCAGUCUGAAACUUAGGAUUUUACAACUCCAAAGAGUACAUCAGUAUGAAUGGUCCUUUCAUGAGCUUCAUCAAGAACAACUACACUGUAUUUACGUAGAAGUGGAUCUCCAAUAGCCUCACGAAGUAGCAUUCCGUCAGUAAGAAACUUAAUCUUGGUCUCUUCUGAUGUGACAUCUUCAAACCGCACUGUAUAACCCACCUGGAAAAUUAAAUUGACAGCAUAUAAGUAAAAUAUAAUGAUGAUUUAUUCUGCUUUGCAACAAUAUAGCUGGAAGGAACCAAUAAAAUAAAUAUUUUAAGUUAAUAGUUUUAUUUCCAAUAAUUAUUAGUAGAUUCAACAGCAAAUGUCAUUUUGCUAAAACAUAUAAGACAAUAUUGUUAAUUUUUUGAAAAAAGUUGUAAAGUAGAAAUUAUUAAAUUAAUUUGUGAAGAAAACAAAA